rnacentral:rRNA from 1 species
CCUACGGGAGGCAGCAGUGGGGAAUAUUGCACAAUGGGGGAAACCCUGAUGCAGCGACGCCGCGUGAGUGAAGAAGUUUUUCGGUUUGUAAAGCUCUGUCAGCAGGGAAGAAAAUGACGGUACCUGAUUAAGAAGCAACUGCUAACUACGUGCCAGCAGCCGCGGUAAUACGUAGGGGGCAAGCGUUAGGCGGAUUUACUGGGUGGAAAGGGAGCGUAGACGGCAGCACAAGUCUGGAGUGAAAUGCCCGGGCUUAACCUCGGAACUGCUUUUGAAACUGGGCAGCUAGAGUGCAGGAGAGGUAAGUGGAAUUCCGAGUGUAGCGGUGAAAUGCGUAGAUAUCAGGAGGAACACCAGUGGCGAAGGCGGCUUACUGGACUGUAACUGACGUUGAGGCUCGAAAGCGUGGGGAGCAAACAGGAUUAGAUACCCGUGUAGUC